AGUGAACGCUGGCGAUAGGCCUAACACAUGCAAGUCGAACGGCAGCACAGUAAGAGCUUGCUCUUACGGGUGGCGAGUGGCGGGCGGGUGAGGAAUACAUCGGAAUCUACUUUUUCGUGGGGGAUAACGUAGGGAAACUUACGCUAAUACCGCAUACGACCUACGGGUGAAAGCAGGGGAUCUUCGGACCUUGCGCGAUUGAAUGAGCCGAUGUCGGAUUAGCUAGUUGGCGGGGUAAAGGCCCACCAAGGCGACGAUCCGUAGCUGGUCUGAGAGGAUGAUCAGCCACACUGGAACUGAGACACGAUCCAGACUCCUACGGGAGGCAGCAGUGGGGAAUAUUGGACAAUGGGCGCAAGCCUGAUCCAGCCAUACCGCGUGGGUGAAGAAGGCCUUCGGGUUGUAAAGCCCUUUUGUUGGGAAAGAAAAGCAGCAGGUUAAUACCCCGCUGUUCUGACGGUACCCAAAGAAUAAGCACCGGCUAACUUCGUG
rnacentral:rRNA from 1 species